CGAGGUAGGGACCGCCCCCUGCCAGUCUCCGCACCCUUCCCCGCCUCCCCCCAGAUCUUACCACAGUGGAGAGAGCUGUAUUUUAAGCAUAAUGGAAAAAGUACUCGAUGCCUCCGAGUGCACCUGCAUAAAAACAAACUACUAAGCUAUUUUUUUCUUUACUUAAAAAUAAUUCCUCAUAGAGCAGUCAGUACAAUGCCUGGCACACAGUAGGUCCCCAAUAAAUGGUAGCUGCUAUGACUUUUUUAAAAAGUAAAAGCCUAAUCCAAAAAACAAAAAUCACGUGUAACCUCAAGUUCCCUCCCCGCAAUACACACACCCCUAUACACACGCACACACACACACACAGAGGCACCAGAGUGAGGCCCCCACCCUUCAUAGGGCCACAUGAAAUCCCCAGGCCGCCACCUCCCUCUUACAGGUUUACUCACUCUUUCUACCUUCAAAUGCAAAGGUGUUUUCCAGGAAGGGGGAGGAGAUGUAAGCAUCUCUCUCCACACUCCUCUUCCCAGCCUUGGUCCAGCUGUGCAAAGCUCUCACUGGGGUGUCUCCACACCUGGCUCCCUUUUAUUCGACAGAGUGGCAGGGUGGCAGCCCAGGAACCCCUCACCAAAGCUGGAUUCCACCUUUUGGCUCUGAAGACCCCUACCCUGGUUGACAUUGUUUUCACCGCUGCUGGUGUCACCCAGUCAGGGUCUGCAGGAACCAUGGGUGCUUUCUAGGCCUGGGAGAUGCAGUGAGAGUCAGGGGGAGAGUUGAGGGCCUUUGGGGGGUGCCAUGGAGAAGGAUUCAAGUCCAAGCUCUGAUGCAUACAGACUGUGAACGUGGGCGAGUCCCCUAACCUCUCUUGGCCUGUUUCCCCAUCCAUGAAACCUCUGAUAAGAUUCUUGUGCUGAUUAAACCAUAUCUGCACUUAGCACACUGCCUGGCCCAUAAUAAGAUCUUUUCCUUCCAAUCUAGACCUAGACAAGAGCCUGGGUGCCCUACAUGCCUCUAAGGGAAGAAGAAGCUUCAGGAAACAAGACUCUUCUGCACUUUGUUGGAGAACAUCUCUGCAACAAGCGCAUCUAAGUCUUGUCACCUUACAAGGCCACCUGGAGUUCUCCUCUAGGGGGACGAUUUACAUAGAAGAUACAGUGAAUGCUGCCCCCUGGAGGUCUGUGAGCUUCAGAAAGCCCAGUGGGAAUCUUCAAGCUGGGCCACGGAUCUGAGCAAAGCCAAAAUAAACAAUGGCUUGAAGAAAAUCUACAAAAAAGUGCUGAUUUGCACUAUUCCCACAGUCAGCCACAGCCCCUACCAUCAUUCCCAUGGAAAACACCACGGCCGGUGCCAAAUCAAGUUUUCCCCCAUCAUAGGGGCAUUGUUUUUUGUUAUUAUGUGAGUUCUUAGCAUCAGACAAUGGCACCACAAGAGACACAGUGGAGGCAGGAGAAAUGCCUUUUUGUUUCACAAAGUCUGUGCUAUUGUGUCCCAGAGUCUUACAUAUAGUAUAGUUGCACAUAUUCACUUUGGUAGCAUGUAUGUGGAAUGAUGAAUGUGCCAAGCUAAAGCUCAAAUCCCCUUCCUUCUUUUUUUUCAGAGCCCAUCAAGUGUUAAAUCAUGUUAGCAUCGUAUUGCUCUCUCCUUCUCCCCCCACCAUCCCCCAAUUAACAGAUUUCUCUAAUAAAGUUGGCCUCAACAGAAA